rnacentral:tRNA from 1 species
GGCCUGUAGCUCAGCUGGGAGAGCGCCUGCUUUGCACGCAGGAGGUCAGCGGUUCGAUCCCGCUUAGCUCCA